rnacentral:rRNA from 1 species
UACAGAGGUCUCAAGCGUUGUUCGGAUUCAUUGGGCGUAAAGGGUGCGUAGGUGGCGCCGUAAGUCAGGUGUGAAAUUUCGGAGCUUAACUCCGAAACUGCAUUUGAUACUGCGGUGCUUGAGGACUGGAGAGGAGACUGGAAUUCACGGUGUAGCAGUGAAAUGCGUAGAUAUCGUGAGGAAGACCAGUGGCGAAGGCGGGUCUCUGGACAGCUCCUGACACUGAGGCACGAAGGUCAGGGGAGCAAACGGG